rnacentral:tRNA from 1 species
UCGGGGUAUAGCGCAGUCUGGUAGCGCACUCGCUUUGGGAGCGAGUGGUCGUAAGUUCGAAUCUUACUACCCCGACCAUGCGCCUGUAGCUCAGCUGGAUAGAGCAACUGCCUUCUAAGCAGUGGGUCAGGAGUUCGAAUCUCUUCAGGCGCGCCAU